GAGUUUGAUCCUGGCUCAGAUUGAACGCUGGCGGUAUGCUUAACACAUGCAAGUCGAACGGUAGCAGGCCUUCGGGCGCUGACGAGUGGCGGACGGGUGAGUAACGCGUAGGAAUCUGCCUCAUAGUGGGGGACAACGUGGGGAAACUCACGCUAAUACCGCAUACGCCCUACGGGGGAAAGCGGGGGACCUUCGGGCCUCGCGCUAUGAGAUGAGCCUGCGUUAGAUUAGCUAGUUGGUAGGGUAAAGGCCUACCAAGGCGACGAUCUAUAGCUGGUCUGAGAGGACGAUCAGCCACACUGGGACUGAGACACGGCCCAGACUCCUACGGGAGGCAGCAGUGGGGAAUAUUGGACAAUGGGCGCAAGCCUGAUCCAGCAAUACCGCGUGUGUGAAGAAGGCCCUAGGGUUGUAAAGCACUUUCAAUGGGGAGGAAAACAGUCAGAUUAAUACCCUGGCUCUUGACAUUACCUUUAGAAGAAGCACCGGCUAACUCCGUGCCAGCAGCCGCGGUAAUACGGAGGGUGCGAGCGUUAAUCGGAAUUACUGGGCGUAAAGCGUGCGUAGGCGGUUCGUUAAGUCAGAUGUGAAAGCCCCGGGCUUAACCUGGGAACUGCAUUUGAAACUGGCGAACUAGAGUUUAAUAGAGGGGAGUGGAAUUUCAGGUGUAGCGGUGAAAUGCG
rnacentral:rRNA from 1 species